GCCAGCAUGGUGUAGUGGACUGAGUGCUGGACUACAACCAGAAAGUCCAGGGUUCAAUUCCCUGCUCAGCCA